UUUAUGGAGAGUUUGAUCCUGGCUCAGGACGAACGCUGGCGGCGUGCCUAAUACAUGCAAGUCGAGCGGACUCU
rnacentral:rRNA from 1 species